GGGCCUUAGUGGUUAGAGCGUUCGCCUCGGAUGCGGAAGGUCGGUAGUUCGAACACCGGCUGAGUCA